AGGCCAGUAGCUCCAACUGGUUAGAGCGCCGGUCUCCAAAACCGGAUGUUGCAGGUUCGAAUCCUGCCUGGCCUG
rnacentral:tRNA from 1 species